AUGGCGCCGUCCGACGGACCCGGCGGCGACCACCGCGCGCGCCCGUCCAUGCGCGACAGGCCCGCCGCGGCGGGCGAGUGCGAGGCCGACGGCGUCGCGGAGGAGGAGGAGGAGGCCGCGGCGAGGCGCGGCUGCUACCCCAACCCCGCUCCCCGCGGCAAGCAGGUCGUGGUGGAGGAGACGAGCGGCAAGGGCGCGCCUGCCGAUGGCGUCCAGGACGUCGUCCAGAGGCUCGGGCUCUGCCGCCACCCCGCUCGCCGACGCCCUCUACAGUUCGGCGAGGGCACCUCCGCAGCCGGCGCCGAGGAGGCCGUGCGGACGUGCUCGCAGAUCGGCCCCGCGGCUUCCUGCGUCCCGGUGGCGAGUGGAGGGCGAGGAGGCGGAGGGGGUCGCGGUGACAGGUGCGUGUACAUCUACGGCUGCACCUCAAGGCCGCAGGCUUCCAAGCUCGCGCCAACAAGCGAUCUCGCGCCCAAGGUAAUUUGUUUGAUUCUGGAAGAAGAAGGUGACAUCGAUAAGUUUAAAGGUUACAAACCAUCGGCUGCAGAUGUAUCAAAGGCUAAGCGGGAACCUCCCAAGCCUAACAAUGAGGUCCAACUGUCAAGUGUAAAAGGCACCGGUCCUGACGGUGGUAUUCUGAAGGCAGACAUUGAAGAUUACUUGGCUUCUGUAGCCAAGGGUGGCAAGGGCGAGUCUUUUGCAGCUUCAGGAUUAGCUUGCACUGAUAUUCCAAAUGCGCAGAUAAGAAAGGUUACUGCAGACCGCCUCUUAGCCUCUAAACAAACCAUCCCACAUUACUACUUGACAGUUGACACACCCGUUGACAAACUUAUCAAGUUGCUAGGGGAACUGAACCUACUGCAGGAAGCAUCUGGUGGAAAGAAGAUAUCUAAAGACCUUGUUAGAAAGGAUGCAGACAAGACAGGACUUGCUACAAUCGGUGAGGAGGUGAAGCAGUUGGCUCAAAGAGCGAGGGAUAACAGCUUAAAACCACAAGACUAUGAGGCAUUUAGUGAUUUUCCAGAUUUUGUCUGUAGUGAUAGGGGAGGCUACCCUGGGUCUAAUAAUGGAAAAUGCAAUUAUAUCUCGAAGAUGAAUUUUUAUCUCAGGGCUGGUUCCAUGAGUGAUGAUGUGAUACUAGUUUCAGAUGGAGAGGAAUCAAGUAAUUAUUCUCUUCGAUUUGAAGAGUUAAAGGGUUUUAAAAAUUCCUCCAACAGCUCAAAGGGCCUAGUGCAGAAGAUAGACAGCGACUAUUAUACUGAGGGAGUUUCUCAGGUGUUUCUACAUCUCUGUGGCACAACCAAUUCUCAUCAGGAAAAUCUGUACACUUCAAAUGUGAAUAUGUUAAUGAAGGUGGCAUGUGAUAAAGUGGGUGUAAAAUCCAAGGAUUUUUACUCAAUUUAUUGUGGAAAAGUGUUGGAUCCCAAGCAACUUCUAUCGUAUUAUCAGAUAAACAAGGAUUCAAAAAUCAUAAUUAAUCCAAGACUCAGAGGUGGCUGUGCUGGGGACAAAACAUGGGAUGACUUUGUCAGAUCUCAGAAACAUUACACGAUGGUGUCAUUGCCACCGAAAGACCUAGUUCUCUUGCGCCAGGACGGCUCGGCCCAGCAAGGUCCAAUUCUGGUGAAGUACUUGGCAGAACCUAUGCAAUUUCGUUCCAGAAAUGUGCUUAUCCAACUGUGCCGCAGGCAUUAUAGUGGUACUUCCUAUGGAGGCAAGAUCACUUCCAAGAAUAUCUUAUUUGACCGUUAUGGGAAUGUCCGUAUUGAUUCUGCCCCUGAAAGGUUUACUCAACAUUCGGCUAAAUUGGACUAUGAAGCAAUUGGUAAAAUAUUGGAUGAUUUGUUCCAAGACAAGGAAUAUCCAAUGCAUUUCUUCCAACUGGUCGACUUCCUAAGAUAUGGUCCUGCUGUGGACUGUCAAAGUGAGGCUGUGAUAGCAUUCGUGACAAAUCAUUCUUCAUUGCUUUCUCAUUACGUGAGGGUGUCAAUCAGUGAAAUUUUGGUUCAGCUGGUUGAACGACUUCACCCAGAUGUGAUGGCUGUCUUAGUAGAUACACUUGCUAAAUUUUCUUGGGUGAAUACUGCAAAGAAUGUUGCAGCAAUGAAUUAUACGUACUUUUACCAUUCUCGGAGCAAUCAAGAUGGGACACUUUGGGUUCCGUAUGUGAACGAUUGGGUCGGUUUGCUGAAGUUCUCAAAUAACUUUUUCAAGCAUCAUAAGUGGACCUCUUUAGAGAAGCUUGAUGCAGCUUUUUCGUUGAUGGAGAGAAGGAACUUUAUACCUCGAUUCCUGUUAACCAUUCUUGUGACUUUGAAAGACUCAGAGAAUCAAUGUCCUGCACUGAUACAGUCUUUUAUCGACCAAGUGGUUGGGAUGCUGGGGAAUAACGUAAUUGACCUCGAGAGGGGUUGA
rnacentral:rRNA from 1 species